UACAGAGGUCUCAAGCGUUGUUCGGAUUCAUUGGGCGUAAAGGGUGCGUAGGCGGCGCGGUAAGUCGGGUGUGAAAUCUUGGAGCUUAACUCCGAAACUGCAUUCGAUACUGGCGUGCUUGAGGACUGGAGAGGAGACUGGAAUUCAUGGUGUAGCAGUGAAAUGCGUAGAGAUCAUGAGGAAGACCAGUGGCGAAGGCGGGUCUCCGGACAGUUCCUGACACUGAGACACGAAGGCCAGGGGAGCAAACGGG
rnacentral:rRNA from 1 species